UUUUUGGAUGAACACUGGAAGAUUGUCAAGUGGGUUGCCCUUGGUGCUGUUAUUUUAGAGGUGAGGUUAAGAAUGAUUAUGUGAUCUCUUGUUCCAAGAAAAAAGAGUGGGGAAAAAGGAAGAGAACUUUUUGGUAAUCACACCUUGUUGGGUUAUGGGUGAAAUACAGAAGCUUAUGCAACAGUGUUUUUGGUGUUUGCACUCCUCACCAUGUUCUUUCACAUUCAAUUCUAUUAUGCUACCUAUCAUGAGCCUUCCGAUUUCUUGCAAGCUAUUGGUCCUAUUCAGAUGCAUACCUCCACAGUUUGAGUGGUUGUGAAUAUACUCAUGCAUUAUGAUACUCACUGAUUUAUUCUGCAAAAUGUAGUAAAAUAUAAUCCAGUCAUCCCUGUUGGUGCAAUAUACGUCUCCGAUAAGUUAUAUAUGCUGUGCCCUUCUAUUGUGCCUUAGAGAUGUUGGCAUGGUCCUAGUAGAAGUCAUGGCUGACUGCUGGCUUGACCAUAUCCAGUAUAAGAUUUAUACACUGGGUAUGUUGUAUUUAUUUCACCAAUAUGUAGAAAUGAUGGACGUUAUUAUGUUUGGGUCCUCUGGGAACAUAUGAUGUAGAUCAAUAGGAACCUUUCAGUCAGAUUUGUGAAAUCUUACUUGUAUAGCUUUCUGUUUUGAAUUUAUCUGGAUGAGUUUUGGAUCAUAUCGGGCUUAAUUCGGACUUGGUCACAUGUCAGGGGUGUAUGGAUUGGAUUACAUUUCCUAUUAACUGAUUUUUCAGUUUCUUCUCCUGCCUUAAUCCAAUAGGCGUUGUGGACUUGUAGAAUAUCCAUGUUACUAGAUUGUUCAUCUGAUUUGUCUUUUCAGUCUCCUACGAAGCAUAUUUGACACCUUAACUCGGUACAGUACUCCGUGUUGAUUUUCUUGUUGAUCCUGGUAGAGCUAGGUGCUGCUGGUUUUAUGUUCUUUGAUAAAAGCUGGAGAGAGGUAGGUGUUUUAUAAUUUAACAGUUUCACUUUGUAAUUAUACAUUUGUUGUCAGAAAAGUGAUGAAAGUCUUUGUCAGGAAAUUCCGACUGACAAAACGGGUAACUUUGAUACGAUCUAUGGAUUUUUGGAUGAACACUGGAAGAUUGUCAAGUGGGUUGCCCUUGGUGCUGUUAUUUUAGAGGUGAGGUUAAGAAUGAUUAUGUGAUCUCUUGUUCCAAGAAAAAAGAGUGGGGAAAAAGGAAGAGAACUUUUUGGUAAUCACACCUUGUUGGGUUAUGGGUGAAAUACAGAAGCUUAUGCAACAGUGUUUUUGGUGUUUGCACUCCUCACCAUGUUCUUUCACAUUCAAUUCUAUUAUGCUACCUAUCAUGAGCCUUCCGAUUUCUUGCAAGCUAUUGGUCCUAUUCAGAUGCAUACCUCCACAGUUUGAGUGGUUGUGAAUAUACUCAUGCAUUAUGAUACUCACUGAUUUAUUCUGCAAAAUGUAGUAAAAUAUAAUCCAGUCAUCCCUGUUGGUGCAAUAUACGUCUCCGAUAAGUUAUAUAUGCUGUGCCCUUCUAUUGUGCCUUAGAGAUGUUGGCAUGGUCCUAGUAGAAGUCAUGGCUGACUGCUGGCUUGACCAUAUCCAGUAUAAGAUUUGUGGAUUCAGCAGAGAGCAUGUGACCUGAAUGUUUUGUCCUUUGGUCCCCAUAUGAUACUGUGUCAGUCCCCAACCAGCAGGGGUUAGCUAUAUGAGUCACAAUCAUUUGUCUUAAUCUUUUUUUGAGAUAAAAAUUAUUUAUCUUAAUCUUCUCUUAGUAUUUCUCAGCUUUGGCCGUUUACGUGAGUUGCAG
rnacentral:lncRNA from 1 species